GUGCUCAUUUUGGCAGCACAUACACAAAAACUGGACAAAACAGAGAACAUUAGCAUGGCUCCUACAUAAGGAUGACAUGCAAAUUUGUGAAAUGUUCUGGAUUCUU